rnacentral:lncRNA from 10 species
UUAGGGGAAGGGAGAGCAUCAGGAUAAAUAGCUAAUGCAUGCAGGGCUUAAUGCCUAGGUGAUGGGUUCACAAGUGCAGCAAACCACCAUGGCACACAUUUACCUAUGUAACAAACCUGCACGUCUUGCACGUGUAUCCCAGAAUUUAAAGUUGACAUUUUAAAAAAUUCAGUCCAUGCCACUCCUCUGCUCAAAACCCUCCAGUGGCUUUCUCAUUCAGCAAAAUGGAACAACCUUGCUAUGACCUGCAAGUCCCUUAUCCCCUGGUCCUUCCCCUCUUCCCCUGCCCUCACCUCCCAGCGCUUUCCCUAGCCCAAACAAUACCAGCCAGAAGCACCCCUGGCACACUCCUGCCUCAGGGCCUUUGCACUUGCUGUUCCAUCUGCCUGACAUGCGUUCCCUCCUCCCCAUCUUAGUGAGGACGUCCAAGUGGCUCUUUAGUCUAAACUGCAAACAUAACCCUCAGCAUCCCGUUUCCCUUCCCCAUUUGCUUUUUCUCCCUUAGUUUCCUGGAGCUGAGUAACAAAAUGUCACAAACUGGGUGGCUUAAAACAACAAACGCAUGCUCUCACAGUCCUAGAGGCUGAACGUCCAAAAUCAAGUUGUCAGCAAGGCCGUGUAUCCUCUGAAGGCUGUAAGGGAGUGUGCCCCAUGCUCUCCUCUCAGCUUCUGGUGUUGCUGGCAAACCGUGGCAUUCCUUGGCUUGUUGGUGCAUCACCCCACUCUCUGACACGUCAUCGCAUGACGUUUCCCUGUGUCCUUGAUUUGUGGAUGCAGCGCUCCACUCUCUGUCAUCAUCAUCGCAUGGCAUUUUCCCUGUGUCCAUGUCUCUUCUCAGAAAGACACCAGUGGCAUUGGAUUAGGGCACCCUAGUGUCUUCCUCCUAACCUGAUUACAUCUGCAAAGAGUUUCCAAAUAAGGUCAUAUUCGCAGGCACCCAGGGUUGGGACUUGAUCAUAUCUUUUUGGGGGACACUAUACCACGUCAUAUGUAUUUUAUCUCAUUUAUCAUUUGUGUCCCCCGCCCCAUUAGAAUGCAUGCUCCGUGAAGAGAGGAUAGGAAUGGCUUGUCCCUGCUGUGUAUCAGCUCAAGGAUUGUCUGACACAUCAGUCCUUGGUGAACAUUGGCAGAAUGACUGGCAGCUGAUUGAUUGGCCCAGCGGGAAUGGACACGGGCAGUUGCCCUUGUCCAGCUUCCAGGAUCUGUUACACAGGUUGUCAUUGUUUAGGCCUAAAGCAACAACCAGAAGCCUUCCUGGGUGUUUACAUUACAGCACACCAGACUGCAGGCACCGCCACCCCAGACUCUGCCUGCAGCUAAAGUCACCAAGUUUGCCGUGCCCCAUAACUGAGGUCAUUGGCAGCCCAGCACCAAGCCUCACUGGCAUCAAGGGCAGCGGGUUAGUAAGCAUGGCUCCACACGGGUAAGCAGUUCUAGGAAAUGGGAAGAAACCCAGACCAUCCAUCUCAGGAGGGGAUCUAAUACCUGGGGAUAAAUCUCCUCUGUGAGAGUGAAUCGAGGCAGAAUCAAGAGAAGCAAGUGAGACCCGCUGUGAGUGGGUACCUCACAUCCCACACAUCUACCUCCACCUAUGAGGAGCCACAGGACCUGCCUGCCUGCCUGGCCGCUCUCCGCAAGCGCACAGAGCCUUUCUGUGCUUAGGCCACACGUGCCCAGCAUAUGGUGCAAAUAACCAUUUAUCGAGUGCACUGAACUGAGGCCUCAAGGCAAGCUUACCGCUGUGCAGGGUUAAUGACAAACCCAAGGUGGGCAGCCUGGAGCUAGCCACAGUCCAAGCCAAAAGCUCCAGUGACAUCUGCUCUGUGUCCAAAAGGUAGAAGGAAAGGAAAGAACACAGUGUACCAACUUAUCUCAAAUAAAAUAAUUACUUAUUACCAACAUCAAGUAUGAAAUGUGAAGCUAUUCUGUGCCAGUUACAGAAAAGCUAUAUUACUAUGUACAUUACAGAAUAAAUUACUAAGUUUUGACUAGAGUAUAAAAUUUAUUUGUCUUAAUUUCUAGUAAGUUUUAUUUGUUGAAAUAUAGACUCAUAACAUUCAAGACAGUGCUGGGUGUCGACUUCUGAACACAGCACACACUGGAUAGUGUAUGACACGCUGUGCAACACAACAGGGCAAAAAAUUGGAAACCUGCUUUUCUGCAGUAACUUUUCAUUUGCCCUAGACAAGGAACAUUGCACGGCUUAUUUUGACAAUGAUGCUCUUGUAUUCAUUGAAUAAGUCAUCUAAUCUGUAAGAAUCUACGUUUUAUUCCCAU